GACGAACCGUGCGACCGUUGUUCGGAAUCACUGGGCUUAAAGGGCGCGUAGGCGGCUUGCCAAGUCAGUGGUGAAAUCCUGCAGCUUAACUGCAGAAGUGCCUUUGAUACUGGCGAGCUCGAGGGAGGUAGGGGUAUGUGGAACUUCUGGUGGAGCGGUGAAAUGCGUUGAUAUCAGAAGGAACGCCGGUGGCGAAAGCGACGUACUGGACCUCUUCUGACGCUGAGGCGCGAAAGCUAGGGGAGCAAACGGG
rnacentral:rRNA from 1 species